GGCCUGCAGGGUCGGGGAAAUGGGGAGACGUUGGUCAAUGGGUACAGACUUCCAGCUCUAAGCAGUGAGAAGGGAUUCUGUCUGUCAUCAGUCACGUUCUCAAGAGCACCCUGCAGAGAAAGCACUGUCAACGGGCACACCACGACUUCUCUUGGACUCCCUUGUCCCAGCAUUGACGGCACAACUAGUGCCAUGAAGAGGGCAGUUUGGCUUUGCCAGGGUUCUCCGUCUACACAGCGGGUGCCUGCCUGACGGCCGCCACUCAACCACAGAGCGGUGGGAUCCACAGUUGGGUUCUUAGGAAAUAUGGUGCCGUGCAUCAGUUCUGGCACAGUCUCUUGGGUAGUUCAAGAAGUUGGACAUAAAACUGAUCCCAGUAGCAGCAAGAAUACAACAAGCUCAUUUGGGUUGGUUUCCUAGACUGUUCAAUCUGACAAAUUAAAAUUUGAAAAGAUGACAGAAGCAUCCCCGUUUCAGACAUGUUUCUUUUCACUUGCUCUCCUAAUUUUCUUCUGGGCAAAAGUUAACUUGUGUUCUAAGAAUUAAUUUUCACGAGAAAAUUUUCUUGUUUCAUUUCCUGACUGAUUUCUUGAUGAAAAAAACCCUCCAAAUCAAAAUAAGAGGACUCCAACUAGUAAAGGAAGCUCUGAAUUUCUUUUUUCCAGGGAAAUAGCUUUUCAGCAAUGUUUCUGGCAGAGGAAAAACUUAAUUAUAAACAUUUUGCUGUCUAGAAAAGAAAUGUCAAAAUAAAACAAAUGCUGUCAUAUACAGAUGGUGAAUUGCACUUCAUUAUUCCUUCCUGAACAAAAAUAACUGUCAAAAAGUGAUAUAAAAACAUUGGUCGGUCAAUGAUCUAAGCAAAUGUAUAAAGUGUAUGACAAUGAAGCCUCAUCCUCAUCCAGCUGAUAAAAGUUAGGAUGGAACCACAACAAUAACAUUAAUUCUUCGGACUACUCCCAAUAGGGUAAGGCUGUGACUUGGCUGUGUAAGGCUGCCAUGAACAUCAGUGUGUGUUUCUAUCUCAUUGCUUCCUCAUCCAGACUUACCCAAUACAUCCUCCUCAUUCUGACUCAGGGAUCCUGAAAGAAAAAGCAAGAAAGGCUCCGAGAGUCUUGCACCAGUGCCGAGACUUGGCUCUGAACAGGGCCAGCAAUGAUGGGAAGACUUGGAAGUGUAUUGAAAGACUAGAGGGAUGUGAGUGGGGGAUGGGCUACAGGUAAGUGAUGAAUCACUGCAUUCUACUCCGGAAACCAGUAUU